UUUUAUGGAGAGUUUGAUCCUGGCUCAGGAUGAACGCUGGCGGCGUGCCUAAUACAUGCAAGUCGAGCGAACGGACGAGAAGCUUGCUUCUCUGAUGUUAGCGGCGGACGGGUGAGUAACACGUGGAUAACCUACCUAUAAGACUGGGAUAACUUCGGGAAACCGGAGCUAAUACCGGAUAAUAUUUUGAACCGCAUGGUUCAAAAGUGAAAGACGGUCUUGCUGUCACUUAUAGAUGGAUCCGCGCUGCAUUAGCUAGUUGGUAAGGUAACGGCUUACCAAGGCAACGAUGCAUAGCCGACCUGAGAGGGUGAUCGGCCACACUGGAACUGAGACACGGUCCAGACUCCUACGGGAGGCAGCAGUAGGGAAUCUUCCGCAAUGGGCGAAAGCCUGACGGAGCAACGCCGCGUGAGUGAUGAAGGUCUUCGGAUCGUAAAACUCUGUUAUUAGGGAAGAACAUAUGUGUAAGUAACUGUGCACAUCUUGACGGUACCUAAUCAGAAAGCCACGGCUAACUACGUGCCAGCAGCCGCGGUAAUACGUAGGUGGCAAGCGUUAUCCGGAAUUAUUGGGCGUAAAGCGCGCGUAGGCGGUUUUUUAAGUCUGAUGUGAAAGCCCACGGCUCAACCGUGGAGGGUCAUUGGAAACUGGAAAACUUGAGUGCAGAAGAGGAAAGUGGAAUUCCAUGUGUAGCGGUGAAAUGCGCAGAGAUAUGGAGGAACACCAGUGGCGAAGGCGACUUUCUGGUCUGUAACUGACGCUGAUGUGCGAAAGCGUGGGGAUCAAACAGGAUUAGAUACCCUGGUAGUCCACGCCGUAAACGAUGAGUGCUAAGUGUUAGGGGGUUUCCGCCCCUUAGUGCUGCAGCUAACGCAUUAAGCACUCCGCCUGGGGAGUACGACCGCAAGGUUGAAACUCAAAGGAAUUGACGGGGACCCGCACAAGCGGUGGAGCAUGUGGUUUAAUUCGAAGCAACGCGAAGAACCUUACCAAAUCUUGACAUCCUUUGACAACUCUAGAGAUAGAGCCUUCCCCUUCGGGGGACAAAGUGACAGGUGGUGCAUGGUUGUCGUCAGCUCGUGUCGUGAGAUGUUGGGUUAAGUCCCGCAACGAGCGCAACCCUUAAGCUUAGUUGCCAUCAUUAAGUUGGGCACUCUAAGUUGACUGCCGGUGACAAACCGGAGGAAGGUGGGGAUGACGUCAAAUCAUCAUGCCCCUUAUGAUUUGGGCUACACACGUGCUACAAUGGACAAUACAAAGGGCAGCGAAACCGCGAGGUCAAGCAAAUCCCAUAAAGUUGUUCUCAGUUCGGAUUGUAGUCUGCAACUCGACUACAUGAAGCUGGAAUCGCUAGUAAUCGUAGAUCAGCAUGCUACGGUGAAUACGUUCCCAGGUCUUGUACACACCGCCCGUCACACCACGAGAGUUUGUAACACCCGAAGCCGGUGGAGUAACCUUUUAGGAGCUAGCCGUCGAAGGUGGGACAAAUGAUUGGGGUGAAGUCGUAACAAGGUAGCCGUAUCGGAAGGUGCGGCUGGAUCACCUCCUUUCUAA
rnacentral:rRNA from 1 species